rnacentral:pre_miRNA from 1 species
UUCAUGAGUUAUCAUCCAUUUUUUACAUAUAAUCUUUGACUCUUCGUCUUAUUUAAAUUUUUUUUGCGAUUGAUAUUUUUGUUUUUAUUAGAUGAUAACUCAUGAAUAGUACUUUACUUGUGACUAAUUUUUUUUAAUUUCCUAAAAAUUUUCCAAAUAAGACGGAUGGUCAAACGUUGGGCACAAAAACCGAAG